UCCCUCUGGAGUUAAACAAAAGACAUGUUGACACCUACAGCUGUGAGGCUUCCAACCCUGCUGACUCAAAACCAACUCCGCUCAUCAUUGAAACGCUCUGCCCUCAAUUGUCCUCACGCUCUGCCCUCAAAGGGUCUGGUCGCAAUCCUGUCCCAAUCAUACUGGUCACAUUGUUAGCAGUUGGGAUAAUAAGUGUUGGUACUUACUGGGCAGUUAAAAUAAGGAAAUGUGGAGGUAAGUACAAUCUGUGUUACAGUUGACAUCAUACAGAGCACCCUGAAGGCAACAAACACAGAACAUACACUGUAGGUAAUCAUGUAAUAUUAUGCCUUUUCCCUUUAUUUCAAUGCAGCCUGCAAGCAAAGAGAAGCAGCCCAACAUUAUGCUGAUGUGAACUUUCAGAGAUCGGUAAGGUCUGUGUUUAUGGAUGUGUGCAUGCACUGUGUAUAUAUGUGCAUGCAUAUUAUACUACUUUCCAUGCAACUUCUGUAUCUGUGAACACACACACACACACACAUAUUUAGGAUGGAAGUGGUCACCUGUUGUUGGCUUGUAUAACAUACUAGCCAAUGUGAAAAUACAGAAUACACAAGAACAAGCACAGUUUGCAAAUGGGUGGAUCUUAUUGAAUUACAGGCUUCUGUUUCUAUUUGUUUAUGUGCUGGCUUUACAGGUUGGGGAUACACUGGUAUCUGGCACCGGAGGAGUCUGUUCACCAGAAGAGGAGUCUGUUUUGUACGCUGAUGUCAGAAUCUUACCUUCUGUUCAGACAGGACUGGAUUCAAUCACUCCUCUCUCAAAGCUGUGACCUUGGCGUGGUUUAGAGGCUUGUGUGUCUCAAUGACCCCGAGAGCUACGCCGGAGGGGGCUUGGGCCCCUGGUAGGUUUAGCCAUUCCGGAUUGGUCUCCGGUGAGGGGCCAGACCAACAACAGCAUUGGUCCUACAUGUUUCACGUUGGUAUGGUGCUAUAGGUAGGCAACUAUACCACUCUGACUAUGUUACAUGCUGUGUGUACAGUUGAAGUCGGAAGUUUACAUACACUUACGUUAUAGUCAUUAAAACUUGUUUUUCAAGCACUCCACAAAUGUAUUGUUAACAAACUAUAGUUUUGGCAAGUCGGUUUGGACAUCUACUUUGUGCAUGACACAAAUCAUUUUUCCAACAAUCGUUUGCAGACAGAUUAUUUCACUUAUAAUUAUAAUAAACGGCGGUGUAGUUAUAAUAUUUACAUGUGAUCAGAAGCAUAGCUGAUAGGAAUGUGUUUUACAGAAAUCAGGCCUACACAGAAUACUUCUGAUCUUCUGUACAUCACUGUUCUAUCUGCAAGGUUCUUUGAAACAUCCCCUGAUGUUAGUCUAACAACAAAACCCACAAAUGGAGAGAGAGUGUGGGACUCUUAUGGUUGCUCAAUUAAGACUACAAAUAUACAUGUAUCAAAAUGAACAUGUCAUCCAAUGUAGAUUGCAUCAACCCCUUCAUCAUCCCCAUAGUAUAGUCGGUGCGUAUGUGUGUGCAUGCAUAUGCAUGUGUGCAUCCGCGAUUGCAUGCUGUGUAGAAAUGAGCUUCUUUCACACCAUAGCGUGUGGUUAUCGCUUCUCUGUCUGUUCUCUUUGUAGACAGUAGCCUAUAUGGGUCAGUCACUCUCAUUCUCACUUGCUUAUAAGAGAGAUGUGGUACCUUCCUCCAGCACUGUACAGCUUCUCUUACACAAAAUAGCUCAAGCAACAAGCCAUGCUCUCUAUCCCCUUUGGAUAAGAAAGGAGAUAUAACAGGUAUAACAGACUGACCUUUGCCCCCUGACAUAUAAACUAUUACAGCAUAAAUACUGGAGGCUGAGACAGGAGGACUCGGGAGACACUGUGGCCCCGUUCGACGAUACCCCCGGACAGGGCCAAGCAGGCAGGAUUUAACCCCACCCACUUUGCCAAAGCACAGCCCCAAACCACUGGAGGGAUAUCGUCAAACCACCAACUUACAACCCUGAGACAAGGCCGAGUAUAGCCCACGAAGAUCUUCCCCACGGCACAAAGAGGAGGAGGAGGAGGAUCAAGAAGAGGAGGCGGAACAAGCAAAAUAGCCUGGAUAAAUCCAGUAUGUUUGUGCUAUCAUAUCAACUCCUUGUCCUUGUCAUGCCAAACACCGGCAUGUUUGGCAUGACAAUGAGUGAAAAGGAUUUGGCAUGAUAGCACAGACUGGAUUUCUCCAGGCUACAAGCACACGCCAUAAAAUGGGAACUAGAAUUAACUAAGUUGUGUUAGAAUUAUGCCAUAGGCUCUGUAAUAUAUGCAGAUUUAAUAAAAUGGUGCAGUUAUCGUGCAUUUAA